GAUUGAUUAGAAUUUCGUAAUUAAGUCUUAAACUUAAUGCAUUGAUCUGCCAAAUAGAU
rnacentral:tRNA from 1 species